ACACCGUUGGUGAAGUGGUUAUCAUGCUUGCCUUCCACAAUAAUGAUUUCUCGUUGAGCAAGCGGCUCGUGUUCGAUUCCCGAACGGUGUA